UUCGAAUUGUAUGCUAGGUGGUGCGGCAUUUGAUUCUCGCGGGGCAUGAUGUGCACGUCGUCACUGGUGCUCCUGAUUUUGUUUUCACCACUGAAAUACAGUCUCCUCGCUUGUUCAUUCGCAAAGUGCUUUUGGACUGUGGAGCUGUUCAGGCAGAUGCGUUGACCGUUGAUCGCCUUGCCUCUUUGGCUAAGUAUUCUGAAACAGCAGUGAAGCCCCGUGCAAAAAUCUUGGCUCAAGAAUCUGAAUGGUUGAACUCUAUUAAAGCUGACUUAGUGGUCUCGGAUGUUGUCCCAGUUGCAUGUCGAGCAGCAGCGGAUGCAGGCAUUCGCGUCUCGUUUGUGUGACUAAUUUCAAGGUAUCUAUGCCACACUCCACUUAUCCUUU